UGGGCGAAAGCCUGAUCCAGCAAUGCCGCGUGUGUGAAGAAGGCCCUAGGGUUGUAAAGCACUUUCAGUGGGGAGGAAGGGUUUAAUGUUAAUACCAUUGAGCAUUGACGUUACCCACAGAAGAAGCACCGGCUAACUCUGUGCCAGCAGCCGCGGUAAUACAGAGGGUGCGAGCGUUAAUCGGAAUUACUGGGCGUAAAGCGUGUGUAGGUGGUUGGUUAAGUUAGAUGUGAAAGCCCCGGGCUCAACCUGGGAAUUGCGUUUAAAACUGAUCAGCUAGAGUACUGUAGAGGAUAGUGGAAUUUCCAGUGUAGCGGUGAAAUGCGUAGAUAUUGGAAGGAACACCAGUGGCGAAGGCGACUGUCUGGACAGAUACUGACACUGAGACACGAAAGCGUGGGGAGCAAACAGGAUUAGAUACCCUGGUAGUCCACGCCGUAACGAUGAGAACUUGCUGUUGGGUGCAUAAAGGCACUUAGUAGCGGAGCUAACGCGUUAAGUUCUCCGCCUGGGGAGUACGGGCCGCAAGGCUAAACUCAAGGAAUUGACGGGG
rnacentral:rRNA from 1 species